CCUACGGGUGGCAGCAGUGGGGAAUAUUGCGCUAAUGCGGGAAACCGUGACGCAGCGACGCCGCGUGGGGGACGAAGGCCUUCGGGUCGUAAACCCCUUUCGCCAGGGAAGAAACUGACGGUACCUGGAGAAGAAGUCCCGGCCAACUACGUGCCAGCAGCCGCGGUAACACGUAGGGGACGAGCGUUGUCCGGAAUCAUUGGGCGUAAAGCGCGCGUAGGCGGCUCGGAAAGUCGGGUGUGAAACUCCGGAGCUCAACUCCGGAACUGCAUCCGAUACUGUCGGGCUGGAGGUAGGUAGGGGGGAUCGGAAUUCCUGGUGUAGCGGUGAAAUGCGCAGAUAUCAGGAGGAACACCGGUGGCGAAGGCGGAUCCCUGGGCCUUACCUGACGCUGAGGCGCGAGAGCUGGGGGAGCGAACAGGAUUAGAUACCCUUGUAGUC
rnacentral:rRNA from 1 species